rnacentral:rRNA from 1 species
UGGGGAAUCUUGGACAAUGGGGGCAACCCUGAUCCAGCCAUGCCGCGUGAGCGAUGAAGGCCCUAGGGUUGUAAAGCUCUUUCACCCGUGACGAUGAUGACGGUAGCGACAGAAGAAGCCCCGGCUAACUCCGUGCCAGCAGCCGCGGUAAUACGGAGGAUGCAAGCGUUAUCCGGAAUGAUUGGGCGUAAAGCGUCCGCAGGUGGUUAUGCAAGUCUGCUGUUAAAGAGUGGAGCUUAACUCCAUAAAGGCGGUGGAAACUGCGUGACUAGAGUGCGUUCGGGGCAGAGGGAAUUCCUGGUGUAGCGGUGAAAUGCGUAGAUAUCAGGAAGAACACCGGUGGCGAAAGCGCUCUGCUAGGCCGUAACUGACACUGAGGGACGAAAGCUAAGGGAGCGAAUGGGAUUAGAUACCCCCGUAGUCC